AUGUUAGUGUUAUGAGAAACAAAUUGUUUUAUUUUUUAUUUUAUAAAAUAUUUAUUUCACAUAAUAUUUAUUUUAUUUAGUCUUCUUUGCAAACAUAGGAUUUUCCUCCAGACCUCUAAACUGUACACCGCAUCCAGUUUUAUUAAUCUUAGAGAGUCUAACAUAAGAAAACAUCCCCAGGGCCUGGUUCAAGUUUUACAAAGGUAAUACAAAGCUCCACAGUUUACUUACCAGGAGUCUCAGUGUGAUACACUUGACUUCAAAUAGAUACCUCUUACCGUUUCAGACAUCUUAACAUUUGGCAGCAAUUUAUUUCAACACAUACUAAAUGAGUCUAUAUAGCACUAGGCACAUGUAUUCUGAUCUCCAGCCAUGCAAAGACAUAAGGCCAGCAAGGGGAAUUUAAGUCACGCUGCUGUGUUUAUGUCUUUGCAUGCUCUCUCCCUUCUCCAUCUAAAAGAUGAAUGAGGGCGUGGGAAGAUGAGCCUACUCAGAGACCUUAUCCAGCUUCCUAGCUCUUAAUGACAAAGCAAAUGUAAUGUCAAAGUUAUGAAUUGCAUUCAUGCAGGCUGGACCUCACAUUACCGGCAGUCAAGGUACAUGUGAAGAACCAGUAGCCUCCCAGCACAGGGACAGAGUGGUGACUGUCACUACUGCAGAGAAUGAGUAGUUCCAGUAGGGCUUCAGCUGUCACUUCACUGCAGACAGCAGAGAGGCUGAAUCCUCCAUGAAGGCCUGCAUAGCUUUCCUCUCCACUUACAGCCUAGUGGUUCAUUCUGGGCAGCAGGAAUGGCCCCACAGGCCCCUUGCUGGACAGAAGAGGGUGGACUUCAACAGAGGUCACUUACAAGUACAAAACUCAGCUUCCUUCAGCUCUUCGUGAUUUCUGAUCCCCAGGUAACUGCUGCUGCUUUAAACGAAGACACAGCUCUCCUCCCUACCAUUCUCUGAAGCUGUUCCUGUGAGUCUGUUACUGGGAAAAUCCUUACGCUACUUCUGCACCAUGAUAUACGAAAAAUAAAAUAAAUAAAAUAAAAUAAAAUAAAAUAAAA
rnacentral:lncRNA from 1 species